rnacentral:rRNA from 1 species
ACGCACGCUGGCGGCGUGCUUAACACAUGCAAGUCGAACGGAAAGGCCCUGCUUUUGUGGGGUGCUCGAGUGGCGAACGGGUGUGUAACACGUGAGUAACCUGCCCUUGACUUUGGGAUAACUUCAGGAAACUGGGGCUAAUACCGGAUAGGAGCUCCUGCUGCAUGGUGGGGGUUGGAAAGUUUCGGCGGUUGGGGAUGGACUCGCGGCUUAUCAGCUUGUUGGUGGGGUAGUGGCUUACCAAGGCUUUGACGGGUAGCCGGCCUGAGAGGGUGACCGGCCACAUUGGGACUGAGAUACGGCCCAGACUCCUACGGGAGGCAGCAGUGGGGAAUAUUGCACAAUGGGCGGAAGCCUGAUGCAGCAACGCCGCGUGCGGGAUGACGGCCUUCGGGUUGUAAACCGCUUUCGCCUGUGACGAAGCGUGAGUGACGGUAAUGGGUAAAGAAGCACCGGCUAACUACGUG